UGCACUUUUCUAUGCAGUCUUUGGAAAC
rnacentral:piRNA from 1 species